GCAUUGUGGGUGGCGAGCGGACGGUUUGGAUUCCCGCUCGCGGCCACCGCCGGCGGCUCGCUGGCUGGGCCUCCUCUAGGUCGACUCAGCCCGAACAAGGCGAGCACCUUGCACGCUGUGGACGCAGCAGCAGCAGCAGUGGCGGUGGUGGGGGGGGCAGAGGAGGCGCCUGCUGAGUUCACGGCCCUGCUGCUGCUGCUGAUGAUGAGGAGAGGCACUGCCAGAUUGUGGCUGAUGGGAUGAGUUACAUUUAGUUGUUUGUGUUUCUGGAGGGGCGGAUUUGUUGUCGUGGCAGAAAUGGCCUCCACUUAGAGGCCGCGAUGUGGAGUGUUUGGUCUACUCUUCCACGCUGGGCGUGCCCGCACUUUACCCCGAUACACAUGCGGGGCGUGAGCUCACUAGGCUUGCAAUGCAGAGGUGCAGGAGGUCGUGGGUUCGAUCCCUACCCUCACAUCUGCUAUAUAUUUAGAGUUUGCGUGUCUCCCUCUCUCCCCGUGGUCGCGUUCAGAGUGUUUGGUUUCUAUAAAUGUCGACGUGAUGAUAGGCCACUUCGUUGACCUAUCAUUUGUGGCAUUUUCCCUUUUGAAGAAGAGCUGUGUAGCUCGUUGGGCAUUACCUGGAAAAAUUUAAAUAGUUUAGUUUCCUCUUUUCCUCCUCCCUUCCUCCCUCUCCACACCCAUCCCCCCCAGCACAACAACAAGAAGCAGGAGGAGGAUGGUUUGUCUCCCAAGCCGAGCGCUUCCGGGUCCACCUUCAUGAUCCUCCCUCUGCCCCGGCGGGGGGGGGGGGGAGAUCCCCUCGCACAGGGUUAUGCUGCUACUUCCGUUGAGGCCGGGGCGAGUGGAGGCGGCGCUGUGCAUUGUGGGUGGCGAGAGGCUGAUUUGGAUUCCCGCUCACGGCCACCGUCGGUGGCUCGUGGCGGCUCGCUGGCUGGGCCUCCUCUACGUCGACUCAGCCAGAAGAAGGUGGUGCAGGUUCAGGAGUUUACUGGCUGCACUCCGACCUUUGGCCUUGGCUGUCGCCCAAGUGGGAUUGUCGCACAGCAGUCAACCCAUAGCAUCAGUAUCUGUCCCAUGAUCUCCUCCUGCACCUAGCCUGGCACAGCAGUCAACCCAUGACACCUGACUCUAUCCCGUGACCUCCUCCUGCACCUAGCCUGGCACAGCAGUCAACCCAUGGCACCUGGGUUGUUGUGAUAUCACCAUCAUGUAGUUGCAAAUUACGGCUGUUGUCGUUGUGAGUUUGUAGGUUUUUGUGUGAGUAAUGGUGCGUGUGUGACUUUCAUGACGUGUGUGAGAGUAGGUUGGUAGGGGUGUGUAUCAUGGUGAGUGUGUGGGUGUGCGAGUAUUAUGGUGAGUGUGUGGUUGUGUUAGAUGGCUGGCAAUGUUGAUGGGUGGUGAUGAUGCAAGGCUUGUGCUCGAGAAUGGCACACUGAAACUAAUAGUGGAGCAGAUUGACAGUGGAGCAGAGCGCAGUGGAGACGUGGGGCAAUAGAGCAGAGGAGCAAUGGAGCAAUGAGGCAGUGGAGCAAAGGAGCAGUGGGGCAUUGGAGCAGUGGAUCAGUGGGGCAGAUUAGGGGUUGAUUUGUCGUGAAGAAGGCGAAUCACCUGAAUAUGUGCUCUGAAGAAGAACCAUUUCCCAAAACGUUUCUUUUUAUCUAUUUGUCCUCGUCCCGCCGCACACACAGCCGGGACACCGCACACACAGCCGGGACACCGCACACACGAGCCAAGGCACAUUAAACCAACCCAGGCAGCACUCGCAAGCAAUGCAACGUUACGUUGUGUCCUCAUGAGUUCAAUUUCACAAAGUUUAUAGUAACAACAACAACAAAAAUAUUGAUCCUAAUUCUUAACCGGGUGGCCUUAAGACUUAGCACGUGCAGGUGUUGUUCAUUGUCUGCACCAGACCC